AAACAGAAAGCGGUUGACAGACAAUCCAUCACACACAACCCGAUGACGGAGCAUGUUCACUGCAUUUGUUUACAAACUGGGUGACCGGGCAGCGCACUGACAACUUCAACCAAAAUCUACAAAUGACAUUUUAUAAACUACCCUACGAACUGAAUCAUAUGUAGGACUCACCGCCAGUUAAGUCGGAACAGCAGAGCGGAACUCUGCAGGUCGGAACAGCGGAGCGGAACUUUGCAGGUCGUAACAGCGAAGCGGUCCUCUGCAGGUCGGAACAGCGGAGCGGAACUUUGCAGGUCGGAACAGCGGAGCGGAACUCUGCAGGUCGGAACAGCGGAGCGGAACUUUGCAGGUCGGAGCAGCGGAGCGGAACUCUGCAGGUCGGAACAGAGGAGCGGAACUUUGCAGGUCGGAACAGCGGAG
ensembl:lncRNA